AUAAAAAUACAUCAACAAAGUGGCUGAAGUGAUUGGAAAAUACAAAAGAACAAGGAAUUUUGACCAAGAUACGAUCAAUCAAAGGCUGCUGAAGUAUAGUCAUAAUCAUAAGUAAAUACUAGAGAAUAUACAUGGGAUCUGCUGACAGCUUAAUACAAUAGAACAUCGGAUUAUUUGAUAUUUUCUUGUAACUUAAUAACGUAAAAAUGUCACGCGCAAUAACUUGGACUGUGGGAGUUUUCCUUCUAGCAGUUAUUGUCACAACAAUUGCAGAGAAAAAACAAGAUGAAAAACCUGCGUUUAAAUUGACAACUGUUCCUUGGGCGGCUGCUUUGGUUUGCGCUGCUGUACUGGGAGUCAUCAUCUUUUGUUUCUGUACUAAGAUCAUUAGUUUAGUUUUGAUUGCUAUUAUUAUAGCAAUUUGUGGUGGCUUAACUUAUCUUUAUCUCAAAUGAUUUCAAUAAAACCUGAGGGCCUACCGCGAACCACGAUCAAUGUGUUGCCUCUCUGUUGCACUUGUAAAUACGUUCAUAAAUGUGACGGGGAGUUGCGUCGAACGUGGUUUGUGGUAGGCCCUCUGUUCAAAUUUUUGCUUAAAUGGUCAUAUGCUUGUAUGUGGAUCUGCAUCUUGGGUAGUGAACUCUAAUUUUAAUUUAUGCAUGGGUCCACAUUCUGGCAUACUAAGUAUUGAUUCAGUGGUUGUGUGUAAAAAAGGCAGUAUAGGGGUUGAUUAAUAACAGCUGAUAUAUAGUUGGUCAAGCAGAUAUUGUCAGUAGAAAAAGACACGAAACACAAAUUUUCUAUGGGACAGUGGCGGCGCGUCCAUAAAAGCCGAUUCCCACCGGCUUGCCUGUUUUUGGAUGUUUGAGCAGAGUUGUAAAGGAAAUAUGUAAGCCAAAUUAGCCCAAGUUAGUUAGUUUAGUUUAGUUUGCCUAUGGAUAUGUGUGACGCGCCACCACUGCUAUGGGACAAUAACCCUUCGCGCCUACAUUUUUUAAAUUUGCCGCCUUUUUCUACUGACAAGAUUUGCUUGACCAUCUGUAGAAUGCAUACUAAUCUGUAAAUAUUUUCCACAUGUAACAUGUGUGUCAGCUUAUACAAAGCAAUCUAUAGGCUCGCGUUUUGUAAGUCAAUUGGAUUGGGCCUAAUUUUGACCUUAAAGACCUUAAAAUUAUAUAUUUAUAGGUUAACUAUAAUAUAUAUGCACUGAAUGCCGAGAAACACAAAUUAGAACUUGACCUUUUUCAUGCCUUGUCCUGUAUCUGUCCUAUUUACUUGAACUUUGAAUAUUAUAAGAUAAGAUUUAUAAUGUUGUUUCAACAGAUUUAAUUUUUACAAAGCAUUUGGUAAAUUAAUUAAUCACUCACUUCAGUUAUUUCAAGGUAUUGUCAAUUUCUAUUGAAUAUUAAAUUCAUUAGUAAACAACUCAUGGUGAUUAGGAAUUUUCAUGCUUAAGCAGUUAAGUUCUUUUACCAUAAACAAUAAUUAAACAUUAUAAGUUAACAGUGUCAUAAAUAGGUCUUUAUUCAACAAUGUCAAUAUUUAGCAUUUGAACACACACUGUAGUAGCUAUUUUAAACUUGGUCUAUAAAUAAGUUGUCUUCUUCGAGGGUAUCUAAUAUCUUAUUCCUACAUUAAAUACCUACUUAUGUAUCAAAAACCCUGUUAAGUAAUGCAAAACAUUAUUUUCUAAAACCUAUAGUACCAAGUAAUCUUGUUAAAACAUAAGAAAGAAGAUCUUUAAAAACUACCCCAAAGCACCUGAUAAACUAAUUAGUUGAUUACUUAUAUCUAUGUCCAUUGUUUAUACAUAUACAUAUCAAUUGUUUUAGUUUUUGCAGCUAUUUAUUCAUGUAUUAGGUAAUAAGUUGAUAGUGAAAAUUUUGAAAAAUCUGUUCACCUUGAAUAUAUAUUAAUGAGGUAUGUACAGUCGCCUGCAAUAAUAUGUUACUCUUCGAAGGCUGCAAAAAUAUGUGACUCGCUCUUAUGGCUCUACAAAUAAGAUCGUGUCAGAUAUUUUUGCGGCCUUCGUUGUGUAACAUAUUAUUGCAGGUGACUGUACAUAAAAUUUAUUAAAUAUUUUAAUAUUUGCAUAAAUUACUAAUGACUGAAUCUUAAGUAGGUAGGUAGGUAUUGAAUAUCGAAAUAUUUAUUAAAUGAUUGCUGCAUAAUUUACGAAGUACCUGCUAACAUUUCGAAUAUAAGUUGAGUCUCUUCUUUGAGUAUAUUUUUUGUGAUAACACUGAGAGUACAUUUAUGUUACCAUAGAGAAAUAUUAGUAAAGAAAGAGUGGAAACUCCAUGCAUUAGUUUUCUUACCAAAACGCGAGUUAUUUCGUAGUCGUCAUCUAGCGUCAAGUAGCGGAACUAAUCAGUAUUGCUAGUUGACAAUAGAUGUCGCGACGAACGAAAACUCUAAUGCUCAACAAUUUUCAGCUAAUAUUAUAACCGAAUUAAGGGGCUACCCCAAGCCAAUGACCUUCGAUCUGAAUCCCUUAGUUUUCUAAUGUUUUUUGUAGCUUAUUAUAUUAACAGCAACGGCUUUAAGCAAUAUAGUUCCCAUGUUUACUUCAAAGUUCAUUGUCUUCGAGAUAUUUGGCAUCAAAGUUGAACAAUUUUAGGCUAAAAAACUGGUUUUCUGGCCAUAACUUUUGUGUUAAUUACCUAGUUUAAAAUUAAAACUAUUUUAAACCCUGGACACGCUGUUCGAGACGUCAAAGACGAACCCAAAUAUGUAGAUUUCGUACAUGUAAGAUCCUUUACUGCAAACUAGAUACGAAAAAAGUGUUUUUAUAGGCAAUGUUUAAAAAAAUUCAUAAAAAAAUGAGUAUUAAUUUUUUUCAAAAUCCGGUGGACAAAACCAGAGAUAAAAGAUUGAAAAACCGAUAACCGUUUGUCUUAUAAUUCUAUCUGUAGUGCAAAAAAAGGAGAUACGAUUCAAAACUAGUCAAAAAUCGAUGAAAACCUCGGGUAGCCCCUUAACUGAAACUCUAUUUUCAACUCCUUCUGCUUAUAAUAUUAGUUUUAAAUUGUUUUAGCAGUACAUUUUUAGUCAGCAGCGACACUUGUGACAUCUGCGGUCAAGUAGCGGUACUGAUAAUUCCACAACUUGACGUUAGAUGUCGACUACGAAAUAACUCACGUUUUGGUUAGAAAACUGAUGUAUGGAGUUACCACUCUUUCUGGGCAUCCACUGUUUAGAGUUUUAGAGGAACCUCGACACGAGAGAAGAGAAGAACCACUCUUUCUUUACUUAUAUUUAUCUAUGAUGGUACUUGUAUUUGUUUGUAGUAGAUGUAUUAUGCAUUGCAUGCAUAUGAUUUAUGAAACAAUAACUGUUGAUUUUAUUCAAUUUUAAUUAUGUUGAUUCAUUAGGUUAAAUAAGUGGAUUAUUAUUAUUAAAGCACAAUACUAAUAACGUAGUUAGGUAUUUAUUUUAUUUACAAAUGGUUAAGGGGUUAAUAAAAUUAAAGAUGAAUAAUUAGAUAAUUACUGUAUCAAUUUUUGAUAUUUAUACAUUCUAUUAUUUAUAAAUAUUAGGGUUUUACACCCUGGGUAUAAUAAUUAUAUUUUAGGUAAGGUAAACUGAAACGCACACUUUUACUAAAAUAAUAAUAAACGGUUUGGUGAUAUCUUCCAGAAA